rnacentral:rRNA from 1 species
CACCGCCCGUCACACCAUGGAAGUUGAUUGCUCCAGAAGUGGCUGAGCUAACCCGCAAGGGAGGCAGGUCCCCAAGGAGUGAUUGGUAACUGGGGUG